ensembl:lncRNA
GCUGGGAAUAUUCUUCGCAGGGAGUUUGUUCCCGAAGGGGUUGCAAGUUCCAGCACGUUUGUGCCAUCUGUUCAGGGCAACAUUCUUCCAAAUUUUGCAGUAAGGGAAAACCUGGUAAGGGUGGGGGAAAGAGUAACCACGAUCCCAAGAGAGGUUUCGGCUCAGGUGGGUUUUCCAAAGGGGCCCAGCCCAAUUAAUCUAGUUCAGUUAGAUUUGUGGUUAUCCAGUUAUCCCAAUUUAGGCGCAGCUAGUUAUCUGCGUGCUGGGUUUUUUGAGGGUUUUAGGAUUCCUGCAAUGGGACAUAGAGCUCCUUUCAGGGCACCGAAUCUGAAAUCUGUUAUUGGCAUGGAGGACGUUGUCCUUGCUAAAAUCAAUAAGGAAGUUGCAGAGGGUAGGGUUCUUGGCCCAUUUAGGUCUCCUCCCACUCCUAGGUUAAGGGUUUCGCCAUUAGGGAUUGUUCCAAAGAAGGCACCGGGGGAGUUUCGACUCAUUCACCACCUUUCCUAUCCCAGGGGAAGGUCAGUGAAUGACGCGAUUCCUGAUGAUUUUUGUACAGUCCACUAUACUUCUUUUGAUUCGGCGGUUAGGAAAGUUAGAUCUAGGGGGCCGGCGGCAGAAUUGGCAAAGUGUGACAUCAAGUCUGCUUUCCGGCUACUGCCUGUACAUCCGCUGGACUUCGAGCUGUUGGGUUUUCAGUUCAACGGGUUGUACUAUAUGGACAGGGCUCUUCCCAUGGGCUGUUCAGUUUCCUGUGCUGCUUUUGAGUCCUUUAGCACCUUUUUGGAGUGGGCCCUUAAAUCAAAAUCGGGUUUAUCGGGGGUUGUGCACUACCUGGAUGAUUUUUUAUUUAUAGGGAUGUCUGGUUCUGGAGAAUGCGAAUUUCUUCUGCAUUCUUUUCAGGAACUGGCCGAUCAGUUAGGGGUUCCCUUAGCCCCCGAUAAAACAGAGGGCCCGGCUACUAAAUUGACCUUUUUGGGGAUUGAGCUUGAUACAGUGCAGCAAGCCUCCAGUUUACCUAGGGAGAAAGUUUUUAAUCUAGUAGAUAGGAUUCGAGCUUUUGUUACCCGUAACAAGGCCACAUUGCGGGAGUUUCAGGAGCUUAUUGGGCAUUUAAAUUUUGCAUGCAGAGUUAUAGCUCCUGGGCGUCCUUUUUUGCGCAGACUCUGCGAUGCUAUUUCUGGGGUUAGACUUCCGCACUAUCAUGUGCGGAUUACACGUGGGAUCAAAGCUGAUUUGGACAUUUGGUUACAAUUUUUAAAUCAAUAUAAUGGGAUUUCCUUUUGGAGACAGGAUCUUUUGUUGAAGGAUGCUCUUCAGAUAGCUUCUGAUGCUUCUGGAGCCAUCGGCUUUGGUGUAUUUUUUAAUGGGCAUUGGUGUGCCGAGCUUUGGCCCAGGGAGUGGCACACCAAGGGUAUAACGUCCGAUUUAACAUUUUUGGAGUUUUUUCCAAUUUUGGUGGCUGUCACGCUGUGGGCUGAUCAAAUGACAAAUUCCACCGUUCAUUUUUGGUGUGAUAACCAGGCUACGGUGCAGGUUAUCAAUUCUUUAACAUCUAAGUCAGUCAGACUGAUGGAGGCUUUGAGGUUUUUUACACUCCACUGUCUAAAGUAUAAUAUACUGUUUAAAGCUUUUCAUAUUGCAGGGACAGAUAAUUCUCUCGCUGAUGCUCUGUCCCGUAUGCAGAUGGAUCGCUUCAGGCAGCUUGCCCCCAGCGCAGAUUUGCACCCCCAGAACAUGCCGGUCCAUCUUUGGAAAAUUGGGAACAGUCCAUAGUCCGGGGAAUGAAGUUGGCUUUGGCCACGACUUCCAGAAAAUCUUACGUCAGAGCGGUGCAGGAGUUUCAUGAGUUUAAAAAGUUGUAUGCCAUAAGUUCUGUUUCACCGAUUCCAUAUGAGCACGUCGCACAGUUUGGUGUUUUUCUGGAAAGGAAGGGGUUGGCCCCUCAAACUAUUCAUGCUAAAUUAUCUGCCCU